rnacentral:tRNA from 1 species
GAGGGUGUAGCUCAAGUGGUAGAGUUCUUGCUUAAAAUGCAUGAGGUCUGGGUUCAAUCCCCAGUACCUCCU